UUAUGGCCACAUCACGUUGAAACAUUGGCUGCCAUACGAUCACCGAAGUUAAGCAACGUCGAAACUAGUCAGUACCUAAAUAGGUGACCGCUUUGGAAUACCAGGUGCUGUA